GCCCAAGCCUUAGGCGACUGAGGCGGUCGCCUAAGGCCUCGGCCCAAAGGAAGGCCUCCGGGAGUCUCCUAUGAGCCAGCAUAGCUGCCUACGAACCGAGUCGAAGUCGGAACUCGGAAGCUUACGAGCUGCUCCAGCAUGGCAGCAUAGCUGCCUGCUGCCUACGAGGCUACGAUCCAGAUGUCUUAGCCCGUUCUCUGUCCUCCUGCCGGCUGCCGUCCAUAGCCCAUAGGACCACCAUAACCCGUCUUCUCCAUCCGCCGUAGUCACUAGAAUCCCAGUCUUCCCAGAUAACCAGAAUCCGGGGCCCUCUAAAGUUCUAAACUCUUCUUCUUCAAUCUUCGGUUCUUCCUUCCUGUUCCUACUAUCUAGUUCUUCGGUUCACAGUUCACUUCCUCCUCCAUCCUCCUUAGUUCUUCACUUCUUCCGUCCUUCGCCCGUUCGCCGUCCUCUCCAGCCUCUAGGUGGCAGGCCUUUUUUAGUGAGUUCGCCUUAGGCCUCCAAAUGCAUUGGGCCGCCCCUGCUUGAAAGCCUUGGGCUCCUUCUCCUUAGAGGCUUUCGCAGCUCGGGGCUUCUUCUCCUUCAACGGCUUCUCCUCGCUGGGCUUGGGCUCCGGCGAGACCUCCGCCGGCGGCUCGGCGGGGAGUGCCUGAUCAUCGGCUACUUCGGCGGUCGACAUAUGUCAGGCGACGAGACUUACCACAAAAACGAACGCCCCUUGGAUCGCUGGAAUGGAGAAAGGGAGGAAUGCGAUGGGAUUUUAUCUGGGGGGACAGGAUCUGGUGAGGAAGUAGCUAUGUGAUUGGAUGCAACGGAGGCACACGGAUCGACCAUCUUCGUGGUAUGAAUCGAGGCCGUCCAUUUUGGCGGCUUAGGUAGGGGGAAGAUUUCUUUCUUUUUGUAGCAGGAUUAUGGAAUUUAUCGGGGAUCUAGAGGGCAUGGGAGAUCUGUUUGUGUUUUUGGCAAGCACUUUGAGGGCUGUCAUUCCGCUCGGGAAUGGGGUUAUGCUAUGAAAGGUCAUUAUAUCAGAUUGAUGAUUGGGAGAAGAACCUAGGGAAAGUGGAAUGAGUGAGAAUAGUCAUGUAUUUGGAUGGGAUUUUGGGUUCCAAAGGGAAGCCAUGUUUAUGUAAUGGAGAAAAAAAAUUAAAGAGGAAAAUGUUUGCCAGA